rnacentral:rRNA from 1 species
GACGUAGGGCGCGAGCGUUGUCCGGAUUUAUUGGGCGUAAAGAGCUCGUAGGCGGCUUGUUACGUCGUUCGUGAAAACCCGAGGCUCAACCUCGGGCUUGCGGUCGAUACGGGCAGGCUAGAGUUCGGUAGGGGAGACUGGAAUUCCUGGUGUAGCGGUGAAAUGCGCAGAUAUCAGGAGGAACACCGAUGGCGAAGGCAGGUCUCUGGGCCGAUACUGACGCUGAGGAGCGAAAGCGUGGGGAGCGAACAGG